CAGGAAUUAGUUUUAAAAAAAUAACUACCUUCGAACUAGUAGACUUAGGCAAAAAUCCUAAAUUCCUAU
rnacentral:tRNA from 1 species